ACCUUCUCUCUCCUGUGAGGUGCUUUUUAAAAGGCAAAAAAAUCAUAAGGCCCCAUGCCAUAGCGGCCAAAGGCUGAAGUGGGCAAUUCUCUACGUAUGCGGGAGUGAAGACCGGCCCAUCGGAGCCACAAAUCCUUGACUGCUCUUAAUGUACUUUGAGAUGAUUUAGUACUUGCAAGUCAUAUAGAGUUGAGAGAGAGUUUAACAAACCACCA
rnacentral:lncRNA from 1 species